GUAUUGUACUUACAUAUCACUAAUCCAAAACAGGUGCUGGUGUGGAGGUGAUGUUCGAGGAUCGAGGAAAAGUGAAAGCAUUUGUUGAUGCUCAACAAGUUGAGAAAGUAAUACGCAUGUCGUUUAUGGUACCCACUCUUAUCAAGUCUCUAUUAAGAGAGUAAUAACUUUUUGUCAUAUUUGUAAAACCAUCAUCUCUUAAACAAAUCUCCAUGUGAAAGACAUGAACACGUGCACAUGAGAUGAGAGCUGGAAUAAGGUUGAGAUAAGAGCUGGUGACUAAGCUGGGCGAGGAGGCCGGGAAUGGAUGGGAAAAGAGGAAGCGGGGGUUGAGAACUAGAGAAGUUGGAAUGAAAGUUGGGAACAAAGGGAGCAGGGGCUAUGAACAAAGAGGGUGUUGACACGAUGGGUACAAUGGGGCUGAAUCGCUUUAGCAAAAGUCAGGGUUGCUUUAUUAUUCUUCCAUCUACAUAUAUAUAUAUAUA
rnacentral:lncRNA from 1 species